GCCGAUGUAGCUCAGUUUAGAGCAGCUGAUUUGUAAUCAGCAGGUUACAGGUUCGAGUCCUGCCAUCGGCUCCA
rnacentral:tRNA from 1 species